rnacentral:rRNA from 1 species
UACGAAGGGGGCUAGCGUUGCUCGGAAUUACUGGGCGUAAAGCGCACGUAGGCGGAUCUUUAAGUCAGGGGUGAAGUCCUGGAGCUCAACUCCAGAACUGCCUUUGAUACUGAGGACCUUGAGUUCGGGAGAGGUGAGUGGAACUGCGAGUGUAGAGGUGAAAUUCGUAGAUAUUCGCAAGAACACCAGUGGCGAAGGCGGCUCACUGGCCCGAUACUGACGCUGAGGUGCGAAAGCGUGGGGAGCAAACAGG